GCGGGACACAGCGGCUGAGAGCGCGCGUGGGAGGCGGGGGUUGUGGGUGGGACAGGAGUUACGGGAUGUCAGGGAAGGAUGUCUCCCGGGUGGGGGCGGGCUAAAGCGUGGGUAACACUACCUGCCUCAAAACACGUGGGAGAGACGGGAAUGAGGCUGGUGUCAAAGAUCAAGGGUCCCGCGCUCUGAGUGCUGGGAGUUAGUUUGAUGUAGGUCAUAGGUCUCACAGAGGUGACAAGGCUCUAAGGGGAGUCACAAACCUGGGGAGUCGAAUCUUUAGGGAGGGUUGAAGCUUCUCUGGAGGGAGCUCCAUCAGGUUAGAGUUCAAGGAGAUGGUAUCUCGUGGGGGUCCAAGGCUGGCAAGGAGAACCUCUGUGUCAAAGGUCAUAGGAUUAGCGGGCCCUCUAUGGCUGGUGACAGUCGAGCGACUUCCGUUGAUUUACUAUUCUAUCAUGCAUUCUCCUCUCUUGACCAGAGGGGUACCAGUCACCAUGGAGGACCCGCACUCUGAAGAGCUCAUGGAGCAGCAGGAUUCGUCCAAGGAGAGGAGUCCUGGCAGUCCAAGAGGCGACAUCUAUGGAUGCCAUGGGCUAUAGGAGCAAAUUGCCCUGGAUUGGUGCCUGAAUGGGGACAGGGAAGCUAGGCACAUGGUGGCUACAACGACUACAUUUCCCAGAGCCCCUUGCAGCUAGAUGUGGCCAUGAGACUGAGUUCCAGCCAAAUUCCUGGGUAGAGUCCUCAAGCUUCAGAAAGGGACAUGCCUUUCCUCCACCUUCCUGCCUGGAAUGUGGACACGGUAUCUAGCCAUUUGGACCAUGACAGCAACACGUGUGAUGGCAGAGCAAUAAGAGCAGGAACCUGGGUCCCUGGUGGACAUGAUGGAGCAAAGCCAUCAAUCAUAUCAGCCCCAGAACAUCCACUUCCACACUGUCUUGUAAGAGAGAAAUAAACCUCUGUCUCAUUUAAGCCACCAUAGUUUUGGGUCUCCGUCACAUGCAGCGGAACUUACAGCCUAAGGCAAAGGUCAGCACACUAGGGCCGUAUCCAGCCUGUCUCCUGGUUUUGCAAAUAGUUUUACUGCAACACAGUCACGCUUGUUCAUUUAUGUAUUGUCUGUGGCUGCGCACAGAACAGCAGACUUGAGUAGUUCCAACAGAGACCGUAUGGCCCACAAAGCCUAAAAUAGUUACCAUCUGGCCCUUUACGGUAAAAGUUUGGUGACCCCUCGUCUAACUUUAGACAUACAACCUACUCUCAGCCUGGAAGCAGGGAUUCCCGCCUGGAAAUACCACCUCUAGCAGGAGUCUAGCAGGAGUAGUGUGUGUGUGGGAGGGGGGUGGGCGGGGUGUAGGAUUUGGGGCAGGGAUCUAACCUGGAUCUCUUUGCUGGGGUGAUUUAUGGGGAAACUGGUUUGGAAGAGGUUGGCCAACAAGUUUUUCCAAGAUACCAGCUUCACCAAAGCCACAUAUUUCCUCUGGCACCUGGUGAAAGCCCAGAAGUUUCUGAGCCAGAUGUUUCACACCACUCCCGCAGGGGCCCCACCAAACCCAAACCUAAGGAUCUAAUCCCACAUCCUCCCCCAAGGUACACAGCAGCCCGCCCGAGUACAGCUGUGGCUUCCUGUUCUCUCUGCACUCUCCAGAUUUCACAGAUUCCCAAGACUUUAAAUAGCAUCACUGGUGACUUCCAAAUCUUUAUCUUCAGCCCAAACCCCAGACCUCCCCACGAGACACAGCCACUUGGAUGAUGAAUGGGAAUCUCAAACUUAAAAUGGGUCACCGUGACUCCUGCAGCCCCCUACCCCACCACAACCACCAUUGCCUUGGUA